AAACUCUCAGAGCAUCUCAAGCAG
rnacentral:piRNA from 1 species